GCCGAAGGGAGCUAGCGUUGUUCGGAAUCACUGGGCGUAAAGCGCACGUAGGCGGAUUUGUAAGUCAGGGGUGAAAUCCCGGGGCUCAACCUCGGAACUGCCUUUGAUACUGCAAAUCUCGAGUCCGAUAGAGGUGGGUGGAAUUCCUAGUGUAGAGGUGAAAUUCGUAGAUAUUAGGAAGAACACCGGUGGCGAAGGCGGCCCACUGGAUCGGUACUGACGCUGAGGUGCGAAAGCGUGGGGAGCAAACAGG
rnacentral:rRNA from 1 species